rnacentral:rRNA from 1 species
UACGGAGGAGGCUAGCGUUGUUCGGAAUUACUGGGCGUAAAGCGCACGUAGGCGGAUCAGCCAGUCAGGGGUGAAAUCCCGGGGCUCAACCCCGGAACUGCCCUUGAUACUGCUGGUCUGGAGUUCGAGAGAGGCGAGUGGAAUUCCGAGUGUAGAGGUGAAAUUCGUAGAUAUUCGGAGGAACACCAGUGGCGAAGGCGGCUCGCUGGCUCGACACUGACGCUGAGGUGCGAAAGCGUGGGGAGCAAACAGGAUUAGAUACCCGUGUA